UUGGAGGGCAAGUCUGGUGCCAGCAGCCGCGGUAAUUCCAGCUCCAAUAGCGUAUAUUAAAGUUGUUGCAGUUAAAAAGCUCGUAGUUGAAUUUCGGGAUUAGUACGUUGGUCGUGCCUUCGGUACGUACUGGUGUUACUGAUUCCUACCUUCUGACGAACCAUCAUGUCAUUAAUUUGGUGUGGCGGGGAAUCAGGACUGUUACUUUGAAAAAAUUAGAGUGUUUAAAGCAGGCUCGCGCUUGAAUACAUUAGCAUGGAAUAAUGAAAUAGGACGUUGACCCUAUUUUGUUGGUUUCUAGGAUUGACGUAAUGAUUAAUAGGGAUAGUUGGGGGCAUUAGUAUUCAAUUGUCAGAGGUGAAAUUCUUGGAUUUAUUGAAGACUAACUACUGCGAAAGCAUUUGCCAAGGAUGUUUUCAUUAAUCAAGAACGAAAGUUAGGGGAUCGAAGACGAUCAGAUACCGUCGUAGUCUUAACCAUAAACUAUGCCGACUAGGGAUCGGAUGAUGUUAUUUCUAAUGACUCAUUCGGCGCCUUACGGGAAAC
rnacentral:rRNA from 1 species